UACGUAGGGUGCAAGCGUUAAUCGGAAUUACUGGGCGUAAAGCGUGCGCAGGCGGUUUUGGAAGUCUGUCGUGAAAGCCCCGGGCUCAACCUGGGAAUUGCGAUGGAGACUGCAAGGCUUGAAUCUGGCAGAGGGGGGUAGAAUUCCACGUGUAGCAGUGAAAUGCGUAGAGAUGUGGAGGAACACCGAUGGCGAAGGCAGCCCCCUGGGUCAAGAUUGACGCUCAUGCACGAAAGCGUGGGGAGCAAACAGG
rnacentral:rRNA from 1 species